GCUAAAAAUUUAGCCCACUCCUUUCUAAUGUGAACAUAAAGAUUUUUACUAAAAACUAAAACAUUUUAAAAUUACAGUAAAGGCGAUUAAAAUAAUAACUGGAGCAAUAAAAGUAGUACCGCAAGGGAAAAAUGAAAUAAAAAUGAAAUAAAUCUUAAGCACCUCAAAGUAGAGAAUUAACCUCGUACCUUUUGCAUCAUGAUUUAAUUAGUCAAACUAAAGCAAAAUGAAUUAUAGUUUUAUUUCCCGAAACUAAGCGAGCUACUCUUGGGCAGCUAAGUGAGCAAACCCGUCUCUGUAGCAAAAGAGUGGGGAGACCUAAAAGUAGAGGUGAUAAACCAAACGAGCCUAGUGAUAGCUGGUUAUUCAAAAAAAGAAUUUUAGUUCAACCUAAAGUUUUGUUUAUACUAAAAUAUAACCCCCUAACUUUAGAGCAAUUCAAAUAAGGUACAGCCUAUUUGAAACAGGAAACAACCUAAACUAUUGGGUAAACCAAUGUAUAAUUUUAUAAAGUGGGCCUAAAAGCAGCCACCUUUUAAAUAGCGUCACAGCCUAAUUCUAUUUACAUUUAAUUUCUUCAAAAAUAAUGAACCCAUUAUUUUUAUUGGAUAAUUCUAUACUCUUAUAGAAACUAUUAUGUUAAAACCAGUAACAAGAAGAAGACCUUCUCUUUAAUGUAAAUGUAGAUCAAAUAGGACUAACCACUGAUAAUUAACAUUAUUAAUAAAAAUUUAGUAACUCAUCAAGAAAACCCUAAUAAACUUUAUGUUAACCUAACACAAGAACAUUUUAAGAAAGAUUAAAAGAAAAAGAAGGAACUCGGCAAAUAUUAACCUCGCCUGUUUACCAAAAACAUCGCCUCUUGAUACUAUAUAAGAGGUCCAGCCUGCCCAGUGACUCUGUUCAACGGCCGCGGUAUCCUAACCGUGCGAAGGUAGCGUAAUCACUUGUUCUUUAAAUGAGGACUAGUAUGAAUGGCACCACGAGGGUUCUACUGUCUCCCUUUUUUAAUCAGUGAAACUAAUCUUCCCGUGAAGAAGCGGGGAUAAACUUAUAAGACGAGAAGACCCUAUGGAGCUUUAAACUAUAUAUCAAUUGCUCACUUUUUCUACUAUUUCAGAAUUUGUACCCUUUAUUCUAGCUUUUUGAUAAUAAGUUUUAGGUUGGGGUGACCGCGGAGUAAAAAAUAACCUCCAUAUUGAAAGAAAUCUUUUCUGAGCAAAAAACUACAAUUUUAUGCACCAAAAUACUGACAUUAAUUGACCCAAUAAUUUGAUCAACGAACCAAGUUACCCUAGGGAUAACAGCGCAAUCUACUUCAAGAGCCCCUAUCGACAAGUAGGUUUACGACCUCGAUGUUGGAUCAGGGUGUCCUAGUGGUGCAGCCGCUACUAAAGGUUCGUUUGUUCAACGAUUAAAACCCU
rnacentral:rRNA from 1 species